AGUGAACGCUGGCGGUAGGCCUAACACAUGCAAGUCGAACGGCAGCACAGUAAGAGCUUGCUCUUACGGGUGGCGAGUGGCGGACGGGUGAGGAAUACAUCGGAAUCUACUUUUUCGUGGGGGAUAACGUAGGGAAACUUACGCUAAUACCGCAUACGACCUACGGGUGAAAGCAGGGGAUCUUCGGACCUUGCGCGAUUGAAUGAGCCGAUGUCGGAUUAGCUAGUUGGCGGGGUAAAGGCCCACCAAGGCGACGAUCCGUAGCUGGUCUGAGAGGAUGAUCGGCCACACUGGAACUGGAACACGGUCCAGACUACUACGGGAGGCAGCAGUGGGGAAUAUUGGACAAUGGGCGCAAGCCUGAUCCAGCCAUACCGCGUGGGUGAAGAAGGCCUUCGGGUUGUAAAGCCCUUUUGUUGGGAAAGAAAAGCAGCAGGUUAAUACCCUGCUGUUCUGACGGUACCCAAAGAAUAAGCACCGGCUAACUUCGUG
rnacentral:rRNA from 1 species